AUACUUACCUGGCGCAGGGGUCGCAUUGAUCAAGAAGGAUGCACCCCCAGGGCGAGGCUUGCCAUUGCACUCCGGCUUGCUGAAUCUAAAUUAAACCAUAUCAGGAAAACUACCCCCGGACAACUGCCCC
rnacentral:snRNA from 15 species